rnacentral:tRNA from 1 species
AUUUAAAUAGUUUAAUAAAAUAUUAAUUUGUGGGGUUAAAGAUUUAAUUUAAUAUUAAUUUAAAUU